AUGGCGUGCCGAGCCCUCGCGCUCCGCUCCUUGCUGCUCCCCGACCCCCUCCACCACUUGAGUCUCCGCGCCGCCGCGUCGGCCCAGGCGGCGCCGUUUCCUUGUCGCCGCCGCCGCCGCAACAUCCGCUGCUGCUCCAGCUCCAGUGGGGGCGGGCCCGGGGAGCAGGGACAGCCGCCGCAGGAGGCCGUGCUCGAGGCCAUAUCAAAGGUGGCAAAGUCUAAAGGAAGGGUUGCACUCACAACAAAUAUGGUCAUAGGUGGCACUGUUACAGAUGAUUCAAGUGAUGAAUGGCUUGUUCUGGAUCAGAAGGUGAAUACAUAUCCCACAGACAGAGGAUUUACAGCAAUUGGUACUGGAGGUGAAGAUUUUGUCCAUUCUAUGGUUGAUGCUGUUGAAUCGGUUCUUCAAGAAUCGAUUCCAAAGGGCCAAGUAAGUCAGAAAAUAUCUUCCAGGGGAAAAUAUGUUUCUGUAAAAAUUGGGCCAAUACGUGUGGCUUCAAGUGAGCAGGUCCAGGCUGUAUACCGUGCCAUGAGAAGAGAUAACAGGAUGAAAUACUUCUUAUGA
rnacentral:rRNA from 1 species